rnacentral:rRNA from 1 species
CUUCGGCACUUUGAGAUGGGCGUGCGGCUGAUUAGGUAGUUGGUAGGUAACGGCCUACCAAGCCGACGAUCAGUAGCUGAUGUGAGAGCAUGAUCAGCCACACGGGCACUGAGACACGGGCCCGACUCCUACGGGAGGCAGCAGUGAGGAAUAUUGGUCAAUGGAGGAAACUCUGAACCAGCCAUGCCGCGUGGAGGAUGAAGGUCCUCUGGAUUGUAAACUCCUUUUAUAAAAGAAGAAACCCCAUUUUUCUAAAUGGGUUGACGGUACUUUAUGAAUAAGCACCGGCUAACUCCGUG